ACCUGGCUGGCUCAGUUGGCAGAGCACAUGACUUUUGAUCUCAGGGUCAUGAGUUCGAUCCCCAUGUCAGGUG
rnacentral:tRNA from 1 species